ACUUAAAUAGUUUAAGUAAAAUUAAAAAUUUUAAUUUGUGGAAUUAAAGAUGCAGGCUUUGCUUUAAGUA
rnacentral:tRNA from 1 species